rnacentral:rRNA from 1 species
UACGUAGGGGACGAGCGUUGUCCGGAAUUACUGGGCGUAAAGGGCGCGCAGGCUGUAGAUCAAGUCAGCUGUGAAAUGUCUGGGCUUAACCCGGUCAUGCGGUUGAAACUGAUGUACUGGAGUGCUGUAGAGGCAAGUGGAAUUCCCAGUGUAGUGGUGAAAUGCGUAGAUAUUGGGAAGAACACCGGUGGCGAAGGCGACUUGCUGGGCAGCAACUGACGCUGAGGCGCGAAAGCCAGGGGAGCAAACGGGAUUAGA